UACGUAGGGGGCAAGCGUUGUCCGGAAUCAUUGGGCGUAAAGCGCGCGUAGGUGGCCACAUAAGUCCGCUGUGAAAGUCAAAGGCUCAACCUUUGAAAGCCGGUGGAUACUGUGGGACUAGAGUACGGAAGAGGCGAGUGGGAUUCCUGGUGUAGCGGUGGAAUGCGCAGAUAUCAGGAGGAACACCAAUAGCGAAGGCAGCUCGCUGGAACGUUACUGACACUGAGGCGCGAAAGCGUGGGGAGCGAACAGG
rnacentral:rRNA from 1 species